rnacentral:lncRNA from 1 species
AAUUUUAUGACUAUGACAGGACUAACUGGUCUAAACUUGAGCCAAAAACUGACAAUGAGCUAACUAAUGAGGAAGAAGAAGCCGAAAAAGAAGAUCUUUUGGUAGAGAUAGAUCCCAAUGAAGUUAAGAUGUUGGAGCUGAUUUGGGAGCUUUAAAACCCAACAACCUUAGAACUAAUCAAGGAGCUAUUCAGGUUGGCAACUUAGGUGUUGGUUAAGAGAAAUGCUCCGACAAGUAUCUUGGUGGUUUCUUCUUCCGAGAAUCUCCUUCCCCAAGGUGAAGCAACCGACACAAACAAUGUUAUUGUCAUCGAAUGACUAUUGAAGGGUCGGGAUGUCGAUUUAAGUAUGUAUUAACUUGAACAAUUCACUUUCUUUUUAAGCUUUGAUCUUUAUUAUUUUAACCAUAUUUUUCUUUCCACGCAACAUGAUAUACUUAGCUUACAUUUUAUCUUCCUCUUCACCUUUCCUGGACUAUGAAUUCUAUUUUUGGCAAGUAAAUAGGCAAUCAAUUCUUUGUAUUGUCCUUAUUUAUUAUUCAUAACCGUUUCGCCCAAAAUCUGCCAAGAUAUUUUCGAAUUUUACAUGUUUUGACUUGAUUAUAAAUACUCUUUAUGGUUGUUUCUUUUUAAUUGGCUCCUUUUUAGGGCGUUAGGUGAUAAUUUGAAGUAAAAAUACUCCUUUUGUUCCCCAUUGAGAAGCAUGGAGUGUUUUAGUGGAUGAUGUGGGCUUUUCAUCAUGAUCCUGACCUCCCCAUUCUUUCUCAAAAUCGUUAUUGCAUCCUUUA